ACUCCUACGGGAGGCAGCAGUGGGGAAUAUUGCACAAUGGGGAAACCCUGAUGCAGCCAUGCCGCGUGUGUGAAGAAGGCCUUCGGUUGUAAAGCACUUCAGUAGGGAGGAAGGUAGUGUAGUUAACACCUGCAUAUUUGACGUUACCUACAGAAGAAGCACCGGCUAACUCCGUGCCAGCAGCCGCGGUAAUACGGAGGGGUGCGAGCGUUAAUCGGAAUUACUGGGCGUAAAGCGCAUGCAGGCGGCCUGUUAAGUCAGAUGUGAAAGCCCGGGGGCUUAACCUCGGAAUUGCAUUUGAAACUGGCAGGCUAGAGUCUUGUAGAGGGGGUAGGAAUUUCAGGUGUAGCGGUGAAAUGCGUAGAGAUCUGAAGGAAUACCAGUGGCGAAGGCGGCCCCCUGGACAAAGACUGACGCUCAGAUGCGAAA
rnacentral:rRNA from 1 species